rnacentral:rRNA from 1 species
AGUACGGCGAGUGAAGCGGCAACAGCUCAAAUUUGAAAUCUGGCUCUCUUUGGGGGUCCGAGUUGUAAUUUGCAGAGGAUGCUUUGGCAUUGGCGGCGGUCUAAGUUCCUUGGAACAGGACAUCACAGAGGGUGAGAAUCCCGUACGUGGUCGCCUGCCUUUGCCGUGUAAAGCUCCUUCGACGAGUCGAGUUGUUUGGGAAUGCAGCUCUAAAUGGGAGGUAAAUUUCUUCUAAAGCUAAAUACUGGCCAGAGACCGAUAGCGCACAAGUAGAGUGAUCGAAAGAUGAAAAGUACUUUGGAAAGAGAGUCAAAAAGCACGUGAAAUUGUUGAAAGGGAAGCGCUUGCAGCCAGACUUGCCCGCAGUUGCUCACCCAGGCUUUGGCCCGGGGCACUCUUCUGCGGGCAGGCCAGCAUCAGUUUGGGCGGUUGGAUAAAGGCCUCUGUCACGUAUCUCCCUUCGGGGUGACCUUAUAGGGGAGGCGCAAUGCAACCAGCCCGGACUGAGGUCCGCGCAUCUGCUAGGAUGCUGGCGUAAUGGCUGUAAGCGGCCCGUCUUGAAACACGGACCAAGGAGUCUAACAUCUAUGCGAGUGUUUGGGUGUCAAGCCCGAGCGCGCAAUGAAAGUGAACGGAGGUGGGAACCCUUUUGGGUGCACCAUCGACCGAUCCUGAUGUCUUCGGAUGGAUUUGAGUAAGAGCAUAGCUGUUGGGACCCGAAAGAUGGUGAACUAUGCUUGAAUAGGGUGAAGCCAGAGGAAACUCUGGUGGAGGCUCGCAGCGGUUCUGACGUGCAAAUCGAUCGUCAAAUUUGGGCAUAGGG